AGUGGCGGACGGGUGAGUAACGCGUAAGAAUCUAACUUCAGGACGGGGACAACAGUUGGAAACGACUGCUAAUACCCGAUGUGCCGCAAGGUGAAACCUAAUUGGCCUGAAGAAGAGCUUGCGUCUGAUUAGCUUGUUGGUGGGGUAAAGGCCUACCAAGGCGACGAUCAGUAGCUGGUCUGAGAGGAUGAGCAGCCACACUGGUACUGAGACACGGCCCAGACUCCUACGGGAGGCAGCAGUGGGGAAUUUUCCGCAAUGGGCGAAAGCCUGACGGAGCAACGCCGCGUGAGGGAGGAAGGUCUUUGGAUUGUAAACCUCUUUUCUCAAGGAAGAAGUUCUGACGGUACUUGAGGAAUCAGCCUCGGCUAACUCCGUGCCAGCAGCCGCGGUAAUACGGGGGAGGCAAGCGUUAUCCGGAAUUAUUGGGCGUAAAGCGUCCGCAGGUGGUCAGCCAAGUCUGCCGUCAAAUCAGGUUGCUUAACGACCUAAAGGCGGUGGAAACUGGCAGACUAGAGAGCAGUAGGGGUAGCAGGAAUUCCCAGUGUAGCGGUGAAAUGCGUAGAGAUUGGGAAGAACAUCGGUGGCGAAAGCGUGCUACUGGGCUGUAUCUGACACUCAGGGACGAAAGCUAGGGGAGCGAAAGGGAUUAGAUACCCCUGUAGUCCUAGCCGUAAACGAUGGAUACUAGGCGUGGCUU
rnacentral:rRNA from 1 species